UACGGAGGGGGCUAGCGUUGUUCGGAAUUACUGGGCGUAAAGCGCACGUAGGCGGCUUUGUAAGUUAGAGGUGAAAGCCCGGGGCUCAACUCCGGAAUUGCCUUUAAGACUGCAUCGCUAGAAUUGUGGAGAGGUAAGUGGAAUUCCGAGUGUAGAGGUGAAAUUCGUAGAUAUUGGGAAGAACACCAGUGGCGAAGGCG
rnacentral:rRNA from 1 species